rnacentral:lncRNA from 1 species
AAAUUCAAGGGUAUUCAAUGAAUAUCCAUUAUUUUUUGCAAAAAAAUUUCGAUAUAUACAUGUAUGUAGUGUAUAUACAUGGAAAUAGAAAAUCAAUCAAAUAAAUGAAGAAAUUCUGCUAAUUUGAACCAAAAUAUCUCCUUCCUACAUCUCAUACCUAACUAGCUCAAUAGAUUCUCGUGGCCCAUGUGGCCAUGAGACCCAACGAAGUGACAAAGUCCACCUUAUUACCUCAUAGCAAAAAAUCUCUAAACUAUAUUGUAGUCGCACCACGACAGAGCCACCAAAGCGCCAGCCGCCAAGUCAUGGUCGUGUCUUGCCGCCCCAUGUGCCCACAUGGAGACACUAGCACUUUUGUCGCGCCACCGCGUCAUCGCUAGGUGCCCAUACCUAACUGGCUAAUUGUUGUCGUCGCGUUGCACCUGACCUCAUUGCUGUACCGACCGUCGUCUGAGGCUUCGAUCCGUCGCAGUCAGGGCACCAUCACGUGCAAGUACAAACCGCCAUGGGGCAGGGUCCCAUCAUGUCAAUGUCCAAGCUCGCCUGGCUGGUGGCCACCCGAUCGUGACCUCUCCUGCUUGACCGCUUCCAGUACUUGGCUGCAGGUGAAGCCAGUAAGAGUUCCUUCGAUGUAUAAUAAUUGUGUAUCAAAAUUGAGACAUUCCAUUGCUCUGGGCUCUGCAAAACUCCAACUCUAUCGAUGCGUGUACUAAGUUAAGUUCCAAUGAAAACUACCCCACCAAAAAAAGUUCGUUUUGAGGCUAAUAAUCCAGAAAUUAAUCAAAGCAGGGCAGUAUUGAUCCAAGUAGUCAGGUAGGGGAAAUGAACAAGGCAUGCAUAUACAAUGCAUGUGCAGCAAGCAAGUAACAACUGAUGAUGGAUAACAUGUGAACUGCAACCUCUAGCCUAGCUUGAUUCCUUUUCUUCGGCCAAGAAUCAUGCCAGUUCACAGAAACUAUGCACAAAUUACCUCUUCCUCCAUGGACGCCGAUGACUUGGCUCCAUCACAGCCUGCCAUCUCUUCCUCCUCUUGUCUCCCUUGUCCGCUACUGCUAGAACGAAGCGCUCUGUAAACGUUUCAGUGGCUCAAGAGGAGGGAAACAAACGAGUUAAGAAGGUGACAGGAAUAAUCGGCAUGAGAGAAGAGGGGGCGUUGGGCAGUCUUUGAAGCAGGACCUUGUGGCGCUCUCUGCAGUUGGAGGGAGGCGAGGGGCGAGGAGAAUCCAGGCGCGU